rnacentral:rRNA from 1 species
UACGUAGGGUGCGAGCGUUGUCCGGAAUUAUUGGGCGUAAAGAGCUUGUAGGUGGCUCGUCGCGUCGGGAGUGAAAACCCGCGGCUUAACCGCGAGCCUGCUUUCGAUACGGGCGGGCUAGAGUUCGGCAGGGGAGACUGGAAUUCCUGGUGUAGCGGUGGAAUGCGCAGAUAUCAGGAGGAACACCGGUGGCGAAGGCGGGUCUCUGGGCCGAUACUGACACUGAGAAGCGAAAGCGUGGGGAGCGAGCAGG